GCGUGGGAUUACUGAGCUGGGCUGGAGUACGCCAGACGGUGGUAGAAGCUCGGGCAUUGCCGCUAUUCCGCACAUGUCCAGUGGUUGAGCUCUUAAUAAGACAAUAAGGCAAUCCUGUCUCAGACGUCUGUUCUGUUGUUGCCAUCAACAGUUCAGUCUCAAAGCUCUCGUUCUCACAGAUAAGAAGUCACCAUUAAUUCAUUCGUCAUCAAGCAGUCUAUGCCUGUCAUGGAGUCUGACCAGUGGAGUUCCGGAAUCUGUGACUGCACCGAUGACAUGGCAGACUGUGCUGUUUUGGAUGCUGGUGUUGUCCCUUCCAUGCCUGUAUACAUGCAAGGCAGUACGGACAGUGUCUUUGUCUCCCUCUGCUGGACAUCUUUGGCAUCAUCCCGCCCGUCACAAUGUCAAUAAGUGUGUCAAUGCGCCAGUGCUACAGCAUCAAAAUCUGCUAAGCACACCUCUGCCUCUGCUAGCCACACAACCAUUGCCUCAGAGUGGUUGGGUAAACUCCUUCCUGGCUGGCCCUGUCCAGGGGUGACAGUGUCUCCCAACCUCCCUGUCUCAGUCCCCAGUAGCAAUAGGUCAUGUGCCGGAACUUAUUCAAUAAAGAUCAAGUGUAAUAUAUAAAAAUAAACCGAA